rnacentral:rRNA from 1 species
AACGCAUUAAGCACUCCGCCUGGGGAGUACGACCGCAAGGUUGAAACUCAAAGGAAUUGACGGGGGCCCGCACAAGCGGUGGAGCAUGUGGUUUAAUUCGAAGCAACGCGAAGAACCUUACCAGGUCUUGACAUACUCGUGCUAUCCUUAGAGAUAAGGAGUUCCUUCGGGACACGGGAUACAGGUGGUGCAUGGUUGUCGUCAGCUCGUGUCGUGAGAUGUUGGGUUAAGUCCCGCAACGAGCGCAACCCUUAUUACUAGUUGCCAUCAUUAAGUUGGGCACUCUAGUGAGACUGCCGGUGAUAAACCGGAGGAAGGUGGGGAUGACGUCAAAUCAUCAUGCCCCUUAUGACCUGGGCUACACACGUGCUACAAUGGAUGGUACAACGAGUCGCCAACCCGCGAGGGUGCGCUAAUCUCUUAAAACCAUUCUCAGUUCGGAUUGCAGGCUGCAACUCGCCUGCAUGAAGUCGGAAUCGCUAGUAAUCGCGGAUCAGCACGCCGCGGUGAAUACGUUCCCGGGCCUUGUACACACCGCCCGUCACACCACGGAAGUUGGGAGUACCCAAAGUAGGUUGCCUAACCGCAAGGAGGGCGCUUCCUAAGGUAAGACCGAUGACUGGGGUGAAGUCGUAACAAGGUAGCCGUAUCGGAAGGUGCGGCUG